rnacentral:rRNA from 1 species
GAUGAACGCUGGCGGUAUGCCUAACACAUGGCAAGUCGUACGAGAGUUUUUAACUCUAGUGGCGGACGGGUGAGUAACACGUGAGAAUUUGCCUUUAGGAGGGGGACAACAAUUGGAAACGAAUGCUAAUACCCCAUAUGCUUUCGAGUGAAAUGGAUUUUAUCCGCCUAGAGAGAAGCUCGCGGCUGAUUAGCUUGUUGGUAAGGUAAGAGCUUACCAAGGCGACGAUCAGUAUCUGGUUUGAGAGGACGAUCAGACACACUGGAACUGAGACACGGUCCAGACUCCUACGGGAGGCAGCAGUGGGGAAUUUUCCGCAAUGGGCGAAAGCCUGACGGAGCAAUACCGCGUGAGGGAAGAAUGCCUAUGGGUUGUAAACCUCUUUUUUCAGGGAGGAAUAAAAUGACGUGUACCUGAAGAAUAAGCAUCGGCUAACUCCGUG